UACGUAGGGGGCAAGCGUUGUCCGGAAUUACUGGGCGUAAAGCGCGUGUAGGCGGGACGGCAAGUCGGACGUGAAAGGCUGGGGCUCAACCCCAGAUCGCCGUUCGAAACGGUCGUUCUUGAGGGUCGAAGAGGAGAGUGGAAUUCCUGGUGUAGCGGUGAAAUGCGCAGAUAUCAGGAAGAACACCAAUGGCGAAAGCAGCUCUCUGGGACGGUACUGACGCUGAGACGCGAAAGCGUGGGGAGCGAACAGG
rnacentral:rRNA from 1 species